GUAACGGCGAGUGAAGCGGCAACAGCUCAAAUUUGAAAUCUGGCCCCGUCCGCGGGGUCCGAGUUGUAAUUUGCAGAGGAUGCUUUCGGCGAGGCGCCUUCCGAGUGCCCUGGAACGGGCCGCCGCAGAGGGUGAGAGCCCCGUACGGUCGGACGCCGAGCCGGUGUAAAGCUCCCUCGACGAGUCGAGUAGUUUGGGAAUGCUGCUCUAAACGGGAGGUAAACCCCUUCUAAAGCUAAAUACCGGCCAGAGACCGAUAGCGCACAAGUAGAGUGAUCGAAAGAUGAAAAGCACUUUGAAAAGAGAGUCAAACAGCACGUGAAAUUGUUGAAAGGGAAGCGCUUGUGGCCAGACUUGCGCCCCGGCGGCUCAGCCGUCCCUCGUGGGCGGUGCACUCCGCCGGGCGCAGGCCAGCAUCAGCUCGUGGCGGGGGAGAAAGGCGGCGGGAACGUGGCUCUUCGGAGUGUUAUAGCCCGCCGCUACGCCCCACCGCGGGCUGAGGUACGCGCUCCGCAAGGAUGCUGGCGUAAUGGCCAUCAGCGACCCGUCUUGAAACACGGACCAAGGAGUCGUCCUAGCAUGCGAGUGUUAGGGUGCAAAACCCCUACGCGAAAUGAAAGUGAACGGAGGUGAGAGCUUCGGCGCAUCAUCGACCGAUCCUGAUGUUCUCGGAUGGAUUUGAGUAGGAGCAUGCUGGGCCGGACCCGAAAGAAAGUGAACUAUGCUUGGAUAGGGCAAAGCCAGAGGAAACUCUGGUGGAGGCUCGCAGCGGUUCUGACGUGCAAAUCGAUCGUCAAAUCUGAGCAUGGGGGCGAAAGACUAAUCGAACUUUCUAGUAGCUGGUUUCCGCCGAAGUUUCCCUCAGGAUAGCAGUGUUGAGCUUCAGUUUUAUGAGGUAAAGCGAAUGAUUAGGGACCCGGGGGCGCUCAUUAGCCUUCAUCCAUUCUCAAACUUUAAAUAUGUAAGAAGCCCUCGUUGCUUCGGUG
rnacentral:rRNA from 1 species